CGUGACCGUAGGCUCAACCAAUCACGUUGUAGGAGAGGAUGGGAGUCACGUUGUAAGUGGUGUGUGGUUUUGGCUACAUUAUAAGUAAGUACUGAAUAGUGGGUGAUGUGUUGUUUUUAAAAGUGUUUCACAAAAUUUAACUUUGAAACUGUUGUAUGGAAUACUAUGUGAUAGAACUAAGUGUCAAACUUCCAAACUAAUUUAGUAAGGGACAUUAAAACUGUAAAAUUGUUUUCCUGUGCCCUUGUGGUAGACCUUUAUAUAGACCUAAAGAAGUUUAUGAAUAAUUGUCAUAUCAUUAAAAUAAAGGUCAUACAGAACACACAGGGAAUAGGACACAGUUCUUGGUAAUUCAUGAAGAAAGCCUACACAUGAUAAGUGUGUUGUUUUAAUAUGGGAUCAAACAGUAUUUUAUUCUAUAUUCAUAUCAUAAUAAAUAAUACUUAGACAUGAUGAAAGACCAUCCAAAACACACAGUGCACUGGUUCCGUAAAGGUCUCCGGCUGCAUGACAAUCCCAGCCUCCGUGCUGGUUUAAAGGGAGCCACUACCUUCCGGUGUAUAUUUAUAUUGGAUCCAUAUUUUGCUGGUUCUUCAAAUGAGGGCAUUAACAAGUGGAGGUUUCUGUUACAAUGUUUGGAAGAUCUAGACAACAGUCUUCGCAAAUUGGGAUCUCGUCUUUUUGUGAUAAGAGGCCAACCUACAGAGGCUCUACCCAAACUGUUUGAGGAAUGGAAAACAACAAACUUGACAUUCGACUAUGAUCCAGAGCCAUUUGGUCGCAAGAGAGACAGACACGUCAGGGAGAUGUGUUCGAGUAGUGGUAUCUCCGUAACAUCAUACGUCUCUCACACACUCUACAACCUAGACGAUAUCAUCGCUAAAAACUAUAACCAGCCUCCACUGACGUACCACAGGUUUCAGGAGGUGGUUGAAUUGCUUGGUCGUCCACCUUCAGCCGUGGGAGAUAUAGAUCCCUCCUUCAUUGGGUCUGCUUACACUCCACUUUGUGAUAAUCACAAUGAAAGAUACGGAGUACCAAGUCUUGAAGAACUUGGUUUUGAGACUGAACAGCUAGAAUCCCCUGUGUGGCAAGGAGGAGAAACUGAGGCACUAGCUCGGCUAGAACGCCACCUUCAGCGCAAGGCCUGGGUGGCCAGCUUCGCUAAGCCCAAGAUGUCUCCAUCUUCUCUGCUUGCCAGCCCAUGUGGCCUCAGUCCUUAUCUUAGGUUCGGUUGUCUCUCCACUCGGACCUUCUACCAUCAACUCACUCAACUCUAUAAGUCUAUUAAAAAAGAUGACCCACCACUCUCACUUCACGGACAGUUGCUCUGGAGGGAAUUUUUCUACUGUGCAGCAACAAAUAACCCAAAAUUCGACAAAAUGAUUGGAAACCCCAUCUGUGUACAAAUCCCUUGGGACAAGAAUGAAGAAGCACUGGCAAAGUGGGCAAAAGGAAAGACUGGCUUCCCGUGGAUUGAUGCAAUCAUGGUUCAACUACGGCAGGAAGGGUGGAUUCACCAUCUGUCGCGGCAUGCAGUUGCCUGCUUUCUAACCCGGGGGGACUUGUGGAUCUCAUGGGAAGAAGGCAUGAAGGUCUUUGAAGAUUUACUUCUUGAUGCUGACUGGUCAGUGAAUGCAGGAUCCUGGAUGUGGCAUUCAAACAGCUCCUUCUUCCAACAAUUCUUUAGUUGUUACUGUCCAGUUCGAUUUGGUAGAAAAGCUGAUCCCAAUGGAGAGUUCAUAAGGAAAUACUUGCCAGUUCUUAAGAACUUCCCGACUGAACACAUACAUGACCCUUGGACGGCCUCAGAAGAUGUUCAGAAAGCUUCAAAUUGUGUAAUUGGCCGUGAUUAUCCUGUGCCUAUGGUGAAUCAUAGUGAAAUCAGUGCCAUCAAUAGCCAGAGGAUGAGACAAGUCUUCCUCCAGCUGAAGAAAUACCGUGGCCCUGGCCGUUUUGGUCAGGGGAAAACGGAAAAUGGGAAGCAGUAACCAGCAGGCAGGAUCCUCGCAAGUGACGGCUAUUGUGAGUUCUUCCACCAGUUUGGGUCUAACGUAGGCUUGGGCUUGUUUGGACUUAGGCCUAAAUGAAAAACUGGUAACGGUUACUCAGUUCCAACUGGCCGAGGACUGUUCACAUUCAACAAUCCACUCCGUAUAAAGGCGGAGUAUAACAUGGAUCUCAGUUCAAAUAAGGAAAACGUGUUUUGUUUUAAUGAAGAUGACAACAGUAAUAAUGCAUUGUACCAGUAAUACUUGAGGUUAAAGGUAAAGAGAGAAAGUAUUAUAAGCAGCAAGAUAUAUAUAUAUAUAUAUAUAUAUAUAUAUAUAUAUA
rnacentral:misc_RNA from 1 species